AUGAAUACGCUAGCUCUCUGCAAAUUACCAGACUCUGUGGUGGCUACCAGUAGACACAGCUCGAAAAUCAUCUUACUGUUCACUGGUAGAAGUGGAAUUUGCAAAACAUAUUCCUGCUCAGCAACCAACUGUACAACCACGCUGCUCUGGAGUCUCCAUUCCUUUGUAUCUAAACCCACUGGGAAUCGUUUGUUAACAUGAGAGAAAAUCUAUGUACUAGUCAGUCCUGGAGGGUUGACUACAAACAGCAUUCAUGAUGGAUAGUCAUUGAUGGAGGCAAAUUGGAUCCUUAUCCCCAAGAGAAGGGCCUCACCUCUUCCCUAGUUCCCAACUUUCCUAAGAAUGAUUUCUGUGUGGUAAGAGUUAACUCUUGUGAGACCAGUGCAGGCACCAACACUCUUAACAGUCACAGGUCAUAAAUGCAAAGAUUUUUUAGUUCAGAAACUGUUGGGAGCCAAAUCUCAGGGCUUGGCAUGAGAUCCUAGGCCAUGCUUGUCAGGCCGCAUAGUUAAACUUUACAUAGCAGCUCCUUAGAACCUCAGCUCAAGAAAAGAAACAAAUUGACCCAGUCCUCCACCCACAGGCUCAGUCACCUAGGCAACCCUUCCUGGACCUCUUACUCAUGAACUCUUUACCCUGCCAAACAUCCUCUUUGUGGCUUCCUAAUAUCCUGCCUACACUAACACCUGGCUCACAAACAACCCAUUCUACUCCUCCCCAUAUCCUGCUCUGCCGACUAUAUAAGCUAGCCUGAGAGAAAAGUAAAGUUUGCCACUUGAUUAGAAUCCUGUCUUGUGGACUUGAUCAGAAUCCUGUCUUGUGGUCGUCCUUUCUGCGUCUCUUGCCCCCAUUCCCUAUCCCUGACUCUCUUGCCCCAGGUUGAUGUCCUGCAGGUGGGACAACAAACAACCUAUGGGCGGCACUGGACUUUGAGCAAGAGACUA
rnacentral:lncRNA from 1 species